rnacentral:rRNA from 1 species
GAUGAACGCUGGCGGCGUGCCUAAUACAUGCAAGUCGAGCGAACAGACGAGGAGCUUGCUCCUCUGACGUUAGCGGCGGACGGGUGAGUAACACGUGGAUAACCUACCUAUAAGACUGGGAUAACUUCGGGAAACCGGAGCUAAUACCGGAUAAUAUAUUGAACCGCAUGGUUCAAUAGUGAAAGACGGUUUUGCUGUCACUUAUAGAUGGAUCCGCGCCGCAUUAGCUAGUUGGUAAGGUAACGGCUUACCAAGGCAAUGAUGCGUAGCCGACCUGAGAGGGUGAUCGGCCACACUGGAACUGAGACACGGUCCAGACUCCUACGGGAGGCAGCAGUAGGGAAUCUUCCGCAAUGGGCGAAAGCCUGACGGAGCAACGCCGCGUGAGUGAUGAAGGUCUUCGGAUCGUAAAACGCUGUUAUUAGGGAAGAACAAAUGUGUAAGUAACGAUGCACGUCUUGACGGUACCUAAUCAGAAAGCCACGGCUAACUACGU